rnacentral:rRNA from 1 species
UACGAAGGGGGCGAGCGUUGUUCGGAAUUACUGGGCGUAAAGGGCGCGCAGGCGGCUCUGAAAGUCAGAUGUGAAAGCCCCGGGCUUAACCUGGGAACUGCAUUUGAUACUCUAGAGCUUGAGUACGGGAGAGGAGAGUGGAAUUCCCGGUGUAGCGGUGAAAUGCGCAGAUAUCGGGAAGAACACCCGUGGCUAAGGCGGCUCUCUAGUACGGUACUGACGCUGAGACGCGAAAGCGUGGGGAGCGAACAGG